CAUUGAAAACAGCAAAGGGUCAUGGGAUGUGGCAUGGGAAAAUCCAGACCUCAGCAAAAGAAGUGUGACCGAGUGAGCAUCUCAGUCCCAGCUGCCACAGGUAAGAUUUUUAGCCCAUGUAACUUAUCAGCAAUGAAAAUUUACUCCAACUUCCUUGCUUUGUGUAGAUUUUCAGUCAGUAAGAUCUUGCUGUUUCAAAGA